UGGUUUUUUUUUGUUUUUUUUCAAAAUUCUUUUAACAUAAUUACCAAGUAUAAUUGUUGAAACAAUGUUUUCUGGCUUAUAGCUCCAAUUGGCCUAAAGGCAGUCAUAAGGGUAGUUUUUUUUUUGUAAUAAUCUUGUUUUGCAUCUGUAAAUCUACUUCUGGCAGCCGCUCGUAAAACUUCUGUCAAAUCUCUAAACAGCAUGAUAAGAGGACAUGCUUCGCGCCUCAGAUAAUGUAGGAUAGAGGCAAGAAGACGAUGAAGAAAAAACGUGAAGAUAAAAUCCAGCAUUUAAACUGUGACGAUUUUAAUCAUCUUACAACAGUAACAUGUCAGCAUUUCAUAUAUACACAAACUAAGAGAACUUGCUUGUAAAUUAAAUUAUUGUAUGAACAAAAUUACAGUAAUUAAAUGUAGACAGUAAUAAGGACAAUGCCGUACACCCUUUGCGAUUAAAUUGAUAUUUUUAAUUGAAAACAAUUCAUAGUUAUGUCAGUCCAUACACAAAGUCCAUACGUCAAGUUGUAUAUUAAUGUAUUUUGUCAGAGGCUAUUGUGAUAAAAAUCGGUGGCUGGUACCGCCAGCGUCUGUUUGUUCGUUAGUUACAAUAACUGCUUAUUAUUAUUAUUUGAAAUAGACACCGCUUAAUUGACGUGCCUACUCAAACAGGACACAUGACAUUUGAUUUUCAAAGUGUAAAGAUUCAGUACAUGAUUGAGCAGUUCCACGAAGGAUUCUAAAAUUAGCAUAUUUUAAAAUUUUAAUUUAACUAAGCGAGACUAUACCUCCGUUGAGUUUUAAAUUUUUUAGAUUUUUGUGAUUUCUUUUGUGGUGUUUUUGACUAUCAACACGUACUUCUCAUAGGAAGUAAAUUUAUUACAUAAUAUAUGUCGCAUAAUGUACAUAAAAAUCUGUUUAUUAAAUCUUAUUGAAAAGCAUAGUCAGGGUAUACUUCGUACUUUAUCUACGGAUUUACAAAUGUACCUUUGGAUAUUUACAAGUAACAUAUUUUUUAUAUUUAGCUGGUUUUUUUUUUUUUAAUAUACCUACUCGCACUCGAGCAUAAUAAGGUUUACUUUUAUUAGGAUUAAUGUGUAGUUUUCUUGACAUGUUUACCAUGAUUGGCCAGAUAAAUCCUAUAAUUUACAAUUUACAAAAUGGCAAUUAUGGAUAAUGAUGAUCCAUUCGAAAAUGUAGACUAUUAUUCUGCUCUUAAUUUAUUAAACAAUUGUUGAUACGUUACUACGUUAUAGUUCCGAAUUAUCUAAAAUCCCUGCUGGCAAUCCGACAGGAUGAUAAAAAACCCAAAAACAAUGCUUAGGCGAAUCCAAUACAAAAACAUGUUAAUGGCUUUGUAGAUAAACACAUCAUUAAACACGCGGCGUGUUUUCGAUCAUAGAAAAAAUGGUAAUCUGAUUUGGUAUCAAUGGCUGUUUAGUUUCAUGUUUUUUUUGUGUUAAUUGCUGAAAAAUGCUAACGGCGCCGUGUUGUAAUUGCUGGGUUACAAACACGAUAUUUUUUUAAAGUCCAUAUUAACAUGCAUUGUUUUGAAGAAUCAUACGAUGUAUCGACGAAUCGUAACGAUUCAUUUCAGUUUCAAAGAGCUAGUAUAACUUUGUUCUAAUAUUAAAUGUUUGCGAGUGUCGGCUAGCUUGUCACUAAGAUUGCUCUAUGAACGCUUGCUCGCAACAAUCACUGCAUUGUAGAAAGACAAUGAUUCACUUUCAUAUUAUUAAAAUAUAAUUUACGUAAUUACUGUUUGUAGGGCAUCUUACCCGGUACCAACACCGUUUUUGUUGUGACGAAAUAAUGCGUUCCGGUUGGAAGGGUGGGGCAGCGGCACUGUUGUGAAACUGAGACUUCAAACUCAUGCUUCAAAGAGGGUCAAUCGUGCCUUCAGCGACUGUUACUAAGUUACAAACGAAAACAAUAUCUGUUUCAACCAAUAACAAAACGUUCGUGGCACUUGCCACGGUACUUAUAAACACAUGUCGCCGGAAUAACGUGUAUUAUUGGCACGUGCUUCCACAAUAUUAUUACGAUUCGAUAUUCUAUGUGGUACAAGCCCAUUUUAAAUGACCCCAAUAACAGAGGAGGCCAUGAAUUCGUCUGUUUUUUUUUGUGUUUCAAAACUUUUUUUUCUACUUGAAAUUGAUUUUUUUUAAAGUUGACGCUUCUCCUAUGGUUUCAUUAAAAUGUUAUCCCGAUCUGAAGAGCAGUUUUUUGGUUAUUUUUUGUAAUGCAUAUUUAAGUUUCUUCGACUACAUUAGUAUUCUCAUUUUAUAUUGUCGGAGUCGGUUUUUAGUGUUCAAAGUUUCUAUUAUAUUUCUGUAGAAUAUAUAUUCUAUAGAAUGGUUCAUAUACGUCAAUAGCUAAUAAAUUGAAUACCUACACCUAAAUGUUAUUGUAAAGCGAGUGAGAUAUAUGACAAUACACGCUUUUUUACAAUAAAAUCAUUUUUUCUUACACUAUUUUUAUUUCAAAUUUAUUAAAAUUUAUUUUCUAUUUUUUAGUCAAAUUUUCUAUAAAAGCGUAUGUUGUUAGUUUUUUUAAACUAUUAUUUAUUUUUCAUUUUUAAGUUUUUUUUAGUUCUAUUUUUUCAAUUUAUUCUUUUCCAUAUUUUUUUUAAAUAUUUAAUUGUCAUCAGUCAAUAAUAGUAUACCAAAUUGCGAGUUAAUCCGACGUUUUGAAGGGGGUUAAAAUCAUGUUCAAAGAUUCCGUUACAAACAUACAUACGUCUGAAGCUAAUAAAAGCGUAUUAAAAAGCAUUUUUACUUUGUAAAUAUUGAUUAUUUUCAUUCUAAUUAAAUACAAUACUUAAUAGUA